rnacentral:rRNA from 1 species
GAUGAACGCUGGCGGCGUGCCUAAUACAUGCAAGUCGAACGCAUUGAGAGAAGUGCUUGCACUUUUCAAUUUGAGUGGCGAACGGGUGAGUAACACGUGGGCAACCUACCUGAUAGCGGGGGAUAACGAGUGGAAACAUUAGCUAAUACCGCAUAACAAUAGAGAAGGCAUCUUCUUUAUUUAAAAGGCGCUUUCAAGCGUCACUAUCAGAUGGGCCCGCGGUGCAUUAGUGAGUUGGUGGGGGGAAGGCCUACCAAGACGAUGAUGCAUAGCCGAGUUGAGAGACUGAUCGGCCACAUUGGGACUGAGACACGGCCCAAACUCCUACGGGAGGCUGCAGUAGGGAAUCUUCCACAAUGGACGAAAGUCCGAUGGAGCAACGCCGCGUGUGUGAUGAAGGCUUUCGGGUCGUAAAGCACUGUUGUAUGGGAAGAGAUGCUAGGCUAGGAAAUGAGCUUAGUUUGACGGUACCAUACCAGAAAGGGACGGCUAAAUACGUGCCAGCCGCCGCAGUAA